rnacentral:rRNA from 1 species
UACGUAGGGCGCAAGCGUUAUCCGGAAUUAUUGGGCGUAAAGAGCUCGUAGGCGGUUUUGUAAGUCUGUCGUGAAAUCUCCGGGCUCAACCCGGAAAUGGCAUUGGAAACUACCUUGCUGGAGGAUUUGAGGGGGGAUUGGAAUACUUGGUGUAGCAGUGAAAUGCGUAGAUAUCAAGUGGAACACCAGUGGCGAAGGCGGCACUCUGGGCCAGUAUUGACGCUGAGGAGCGAAAGCAUGGGGAGCGAACAGG